rnacentral:rRNA from 1 species
AAUGAACGCUGGCGGCAGGCCUAACACAUGCAAGUCGAACGGAUCCUUCGGGAUUAGUGGCGGACGGGUGAGUAACGCGUGGGAACAUACCCAAAGGUACGGAAUAGCCUCGGGGAACUGGGAGUAAUACCGUAUGUGCUCGAAAGAGGAAAGAUUUAUCGCCUUUGGAUUGGCCCGCGUUGGAUUAGGUAGUUGGUGGGGUAAUGGCCUACCAAGCCGACGAUCCAUAGCUGGUUUGAGGGGAUGAUCAGCCACACUGGGACUGAGACACGGCCCAGACUCCUACGGGAGGCAGCAGUGGGGAAUCUUAGACAAUGGGGGAAACCCUGAUCUAGCCAUGCCGCGUGAUCGAUGAAGGCCUUAGGGUUGUAAAGAUCUUUCAGGUGGGAAGAUAAUGACUGUACCACCAGAAGAAGCCCCGGCUAACUCCGUGCCAGCCGCCGCGGUAA